GACGAACGCUGGCGGCGUGCUUAACACAUGCAAGUCGAACGGAAAGUUCCUGCUUUUGUGGCGUACUCGAGUGGCGAACGGGUGAGUAACACGUGAGUAACCUGCCUGUGACAUUGGGAUAACUUCGGGAAACCGGGGCUAAUACCGGAUAGGAUUUCCUGCCGCAUGGUGGGGGAUGGAAAGGUUCGGCGGUUGGGGAUGGAACCGAGGCAUACCAGCCUGUUGGUGGGGUUGUGGCUGACAAAGGCGUUGACGGGGAGCCGGCCUGGGAGGGUGACCGGCCACAUUGGGACAGAGAUAGGACCAGGACUCCUACGGGAGGCAUCGGUGAGGAAUAUUGCACACUGGGCGGAAGGCUCAAGCAGGAACGCCGCGUGCGAAAUGACUGCCUUCAGGUUGGAAACCGCUUUCGCCUAUGACGAAGCGUGCGUGACGGUAAUUGGUAAAAAAGCCACGGCUAACUACGUG
rnacentral:rRNA from 1 species